GACGAACGCUGGCGGCGCGCCUAACACAUGCAAGUCGAACGAGGUCUUUUAGAAGCUUGCUUCUGGCUGACCUAGUGGCGGACGGGUGAGUAACGCGUGGGUAACCUGCCUCAUACAGGGGGAUAACAGUUAGAAAUGACUGCUAAUACCGCAUAAGCGCACAGUAUCGCAUGAUACAGUGUGAAAAACUCCGGUGGUAUGAGAUGGACCCGCGUCUGAUUAGCUAGUUGGUAAGGUAACGGCUUACCAAGGCGACGAUCAGUAGCCGACCUGAGAGGGUGACCGGCCACAUUGGGACUGAGACACGGCCCAAACUCCUACGGGAGGCAGCAGUGGGGAAUAUUGCACAAUGGGGGAAACCCUGAUGCAGCGACGCCGCGUGAAGGAAGAAGUAUUUCGGUAUGUAAACUUCUAUCAGCAGGGAAGAAAAUGACGGUACCUGACUAAGAAGCCCCGGCUAAUUACGUGCCAGCCGCCGCCGUAACAC
rnacentral:rRNA from 1 species